rnacentral:rRNA from 1 species
AAGUUAAAGGCAUUGGCUCAACCAAUGUACGCUUUGGAAACUGGAGAACUUGAGUGCAGAAGGGGAGAGUGGAAUUCCAUGUGUAGCGGUGAAAUGCGUAGAUAUAUGGAGGAACACCGGUGGCGAAAGCGGCUCUCUGGUCUGUAACUGACGCUGAGGCUCGAAAGCGUGGGGAGCAAACAGGAUUAGAUACCCUGGUAGUCCACGCCGUAAACGAUGAGUGCUAGGUGUUAGGCCCUUUCCGGGGCUUAGUGCCGGAGCUAACGCAUUAAGCACUCCGCCUGGGGAGUACGACCGCAAGGUUGAAACUCAAAGGAAUUGACGGGGGCCCGCACAAGCGGUGG